rnacentral:rRNA from 1 species
AUUGAACGCUGGCGGCAUGCCUUACACAUGCAAGUCGAACGGCAGCGGACCUUCGGGUGCCGGCGAGUGGCGAACGGGUGAGUAAUGUAUCGGAACGUACCUUUCAGUGGGGGAUAACGUAGCGAAAGUUACGCUAAUACCGCAUAUUCUGUGAGCAGGAAAGCAGGGGAUCGCAAGACCUUGCGCUGAUUGAGCGGCCGAUAUCAGAUUAGCUAGUUGGUGAGGUAAAGGCUCACCAAGGCGACGAUCUGUAGCGGGUCUGAGAGGAUGAUCCGGCACACUGGAACUGAGACACGGUACAGACUCCUACGGGAGGCAGCAGUGGGGAAUUUUGGACAAUGGGGGCAACCCUGAUCCAGCCAUGCCGCGUGAGUGAAGAAGGCCUUCGGGUUGUAAAGCUCUUUCGUCCGGGAAGAAAUCGCAUCAGCUAAUACCUGGUGUGGAUGAUGGUACCGGAAUAAGAAGCACCGGCUAACUACGUGCCAGCAGCCGCGGUAAAAC